UUAUCUUUGUUCCGUAUUGGUGUUGCACCGAAAUAAAAUCAGUGCAAUGAAAAGGGAAUGCGGUGUGAAUCCGCGACAGUACCCGCUGCUGUGAUGCCCGAUCGUUCUAACGAUGAUGGUUUUAUGAUAACCUGCCACUGUUCCGCGCAGCGGAAUGGGAAGGCUUCAUAAGGCCGGGACAAGUCAGAAGACCUGCCAGACAAACCAUAUUCAA
rnacentral:ncRNA from 2 species